UCCGGUUUGGCACCGGCAGUCCCCCGAGAGUCCUCAGCGCCUUGCGGCCUGUUAGCAACACGGGGCGGGGGUUGCGCUCGUUGCGGGACUUAACCCAACAUCUUACGACACGAGCUGACGACAGCCAUGCAGCACCUGUGCACGGGCUCCGAAGAGGGGCACCUGUUUCCAGGCGCUUUCCCGUGCAUGUCAAACCCAGGUAAGGUUCUUCGCGUUGCAUCGAAUUAAUCCACAUGCUCCGCCGCUUGUGCGGGCCCCCGUCAAUUCCUUUGAGUUUCAACCUUGCGGUCGUACUCCCCAGGCGGGAUGCUUAAAGCGUUAGCUGCGGCACGGGGGGGGUCGACACCUCCCACACCUAGCAUCCACCGUUUAGGGCGUGGACUAC
rnacentral:misc_RNA from 1 species